rnacentral:lncRNA from 1 species
AUGGGUUCGUUUAGGGGGCGGGGAGCAGAGCAACGCCUGAUGGGGAGCACAUGCCACCCCCAGAGCGGGUGCUUUGAUCCUCGCCGAGGCCAGGCUGCAACAUCUUGGUCCCUGCGCCAACCGCUGUCCUGGCGAGGCUCCAGGCGUGGGUGGCCUCGCGUGCAGGGAGCCCCGCCGCCCCCGCCACACGAAAGGCGGGACUGGAGCUGUCUCCUCCCGGAGGGGCGACGCUGGAGCGCAGCCCGGCAGACGCACACUCGGCUUCCAGCUAGGAUCCUGGGAGCCACACAAAGGAAAUGGCAAGAUCGUGAGUCACCCCGAGGCCCGGCUGCUGCCUGGGCUGCAGGCCCACAACAGGACCUUUGUGCCGCGCUCCAGGAGGACGAGGGGGCCGUGCUGCAGAGAGGCAGACAUUUCAGGGCGCUGAGUAAUGCUCCGAGAGGGGAGGCAUCGCCGCCGGCAGCGGGACUGGCUCCUGGGCGCCCACCACAACGCCAAGGGACCCAGGCGCCGCUUAGAGGGAGCCCCCUGCCGCCAUCUUGUCACACCGCUUGUCCCUGGACUGGCUGUGUGCAAUGCUAUGAUGGCAGUACAGCAGCACAGUAAUGAGGAAGUGACUGAUACAGCAGGGGCCAGGUCACAGAGAACCUUGAAUGCCAGUGAAAGGCUUUGGAUUUUAGCAUGUAAGUAAUAGAAGGGGAGGGAACCUAAAAUGUGGUUUUCAUUUUUAAUUUUUUUUUAAAGUAGGAAAUUAUAAAUAGCUCUUUUUCCUUUUUCUUUCUUUCUUUCUUUUUUUUUGGUGAGGAAGAUUGGCCCUCAGCUAACAUCUGUGCCAGUCUUCCUCUACUUUGUAUGUGGGAUGCUGCCACAACAUAAUUUGAUGAGCAGUGUGCAGGUCCAUGUCCGGGAUCUCAACAUGGGAACCCAGGGCUACCAAAGUGGAGUGCACAAACUUAACUACUACUCCACCAGGCCAGGCCCCAGCUCUGUUUUGAAAAGGCCAUUCUGAGAGAAAGUGAAGAAAACAACAGACAAAGGGCUUGAAAUAAGAAGCAAGAAACGUGUCCAGAGGACAGCGUUUGUGAUGUUAGGGGCUUGGAGCAGUUCACUUCCUCCCCAGAGUGAGCAAGCCCUGGGGCUGGGAGAGAGGGAUGGAUCAGAGUAAGGUGUUGAGGAAUAAGUAGGUGUUGAGGAAUAAGUUGGGGGUGGGCAGGGGCAGGAUGCCACUGUGGAGCUGCCAAUCAAAGUCCACCCAAGACUCCAGAAACCAAGGACAACUGAGACGUCAUGAUGAAUGGAGAAACACUGACCUUGAGUCGGCAUCAGAUUCCCACCCAAUCUCUGUCACAGAUCAGCUGUGUAACUUGGAAUAAGUCACUUCAUUCUCUGAACCGAUUUCUUCAAUUGAACAAUGGGAAUUACAAGCUCCAGAUCUCGGACUGUAAUGGAUAAAAAGAUGUGUGAAGACAUCUUUCACUGACCCCAAGAAUCCAAGGCCUUUCUCCAGGCGGUCAGUUGGAAUGACUCUCUUCUUCCUCUUUGCAUGUUCCCAUCUUACGUCACCACGUGACUUUGGGCAAAAGAUGGGCUUCCAACUCGGUGAUUCCUAAAGGCCUCUCUGGCUCUAAAUUGCUGGGUUUCUAUGACAAAUUUGGAUUUUCAGAUUAAAUUGACUCAGGUCUACAGAGCACCCAGAUGAAGCUGUUAGUUCUAUAAAUAAUAGAGCCAUGUUGCAUAUUUACUCAUACCUUACCAAAUCUUGGCAGUCUGUGCAAUCUAUUCUUGUUUGAUUUUCAAAUAAAAUGUUAUUUAUUUCUUAAAGGCA